rnacentral:rRNA from 1 species
UAGAGAGGGUGCAAGCGUUAAUCGGAAUUACUGGGCGUAAAGAGUGCGUAGGUGGUUUGUUAAGUCAGGCUUGAAAUCCUGGGCCUCAAACUCAGAAUUGCGCUUGAUACUGACAGACUCGAGUGUGUUAGAGGAUAGUGGAAUUCCCGGUGUAACGGUGAAAUGCGUAUAUAUCGGGAGGAACAGCAGUGGCGAAGGCGGCUAUCUGGACCAGCACUGACACUGAGGUACGAGAGCGUGGGUAGCAAACAGG